rnacentral:rRNA from 1 species
AUAGAGCUAAAAUUCACCAUCUAAGCACUAAGACUUUACAGUUAAAACUUAAAGGACAUGGCGACGGUAUUUACUCAGGGGAACUUACCAGGUAAAUGAUAAUCCACAAGGAACCGUGCUAAUUUUUAAAGUAUGUAUACCGCCGUCAUGAACUUACCUUAGGUAAGUUCAAAUAGUUAUGUAACUAAAGGACAGGUCAUGGUGCAGCCUAUAAAUUAGUCUCAGGCGAGUUACAUUAUUUCCUUUUUAUUCGUUACCUAUUUCAAAUGAAAUAGGAGAAGCCGGACUUGAAAGUAAAUAGGAAAAGAAAUACUUAUUGAAUAACCUUUUACCGUGC